GCUGACAAAAAUAAAACAUAAAUGACCUGGAACGUAGAGGAAAAUGAUCCGUGGAUGAUUCUGUAACUGCACUGCUUCUUUAUUAUUUGUCAGGUGGAUCUUGUCUGUGGUGACCAUCUUCUUGAGAGGUACCAGUCAUUGAGAGAAGUUCAAAGUACCAUUGGAGAGAGUGCUAUCCAGGAUGGUCUCCUUGUUCUUCACUUUGGGCUUGUUCUGCCUCCAGGAUAUAAAGUGUAAAUUGGACUGUCUGUGACGGGAUCGUCUAGCACGUUGCAUCUGUAUAAAACACCUAUGUGUUACCGCACAGUAUCAGAUGAUGGCAACACCAUUUUAUGGAUCGAUGGAAAGACUAAUGCAAGCACAAACAUGUUUCUUAUAAGAAAACUGGGAAAAAAAGAAGAAUUUAUUCAUCUACUCAACCCCUUUGGUUUCAUUCUGAUUUGGGGAUUUUGUUUUCUGGUAAACCUUGAUAUGCAACAUCACUAGGUUUAAUAAACUUGCUCCAGUACCAAGAUUAUUCCACUUGUGUAGAAUAAAAACUGUUUGUUUUCCCAAAACUAGUAAGAAGAAAG